CGACGAGGAUGCACGUAGGAGUACCGGACAUAUGGCGAGUUAUAGCUGAAGUGCGACCGCCUUUAACUUAUCCUGUGGAAAUGGAUAGCUCGCAGCACCGCCAAGACUGCGAAGGUGUUGAAAAAGAGAAAGAGAUUGGGGAGAGAGAAAGAGGAGGUAAGUCAGUACACAAGGUGAGCUGAGGAUGGCAAAGUCGUGUUGAUCGCUCCCUGCAAGUUGCUUGAAUUUGCGUUCCAAUCCAGUGCCUUACCUGACUGAUUGAAA